rnacentral:rRNA from 1 species
UCCAGACUCCUACGGGAGGCAGCAGUGGGGGAUAUUGCACAAUGGGGGAAACCCUGAUGCAGCGACGCCGCGUGAGUGAAGAAGUAUUUCGGUAUGUAAAGCUCUAUCAGCAGGGAAGAAAAAAGACGGUACCUGACUAAGAAGCCCCGGCUAACUACGUGCCAGCAGCCGCGGUAAUACGUAGGGGGCAAGCGUUAUCCGGAUUUACUGGGUGUAAAGGGAGCGUAGACGGCAAUACAAGUCGGAAGUGAAAUACCCGGGCUCAACCUGGGAACUGCUUUGGAAACUGUAUGGCUGGAGUGCUGGAGAGGUAAGCGGAAUUCCUAGUGUAGCGGUGAAAUGCGUAGAUAUUAGGAGGAACACCAGUGGCGAAGGCGGCUUACUGGACAGUAACUGACGUUGAGGCUCGAAAGCGUGGGGAGCAAACAGGAUUAGAUACCCUAGUAGC